CGAGCUCGCGUAUGAUCCUGCUUGCUCCUUUGACGUUAGCGGCGGACGGGUGAGUAACACGUGGGUAACCUACCUAUAAGACUGGGAUAACUUCGGGAAACCGGAGCUAAUACCGGAUAAUAUUUCGAACCGCAUGGUUCGAUAGUGAAAGAUGGCUUUGCUAUCACUUAUAGAUGGACCUGCGCCGUAUUAGCUAGUUGGUAAGGUAACGGCUUACCAAGGCAACGAUACGUAGCCGACCUGAGAGGGUGAUCGGCCACACUGGAACUGAGACACGGUCCAGACUCCUACGGGAGGCAGCAGUAGGGAAUCUUCCGCAAUGGGCGAAAGCCUGACGGAGCAACGCCGCGUGAGUGAUGAAGGUCUUCGGAUCGUAAAACUCUGUUAUUAGGGAAGAACAAACGUGUAAGUAACUGUGCACGUCUUGACGGUACCUAAUCAGAAAGCCACGGCUAACUACGUGCCAGCAGCCGCGGUAAUACGUAGGUGGCAAGCGUUAUCCGGAAUUAUUGGGCGUAAAGCGCGCGUAGGCGGUUUUUUAAGUCUGAUGUGAAAGCCCACGGCUCAACCGUGGAGGGUCAUUGGAAACUGGAAAACUUGAGUGCAGAAGAGGAAAGUGGAAUUCCAUGUGUAGCGGUGAAAUGCGCAGAGAUAUGGAGGAACACCAGUGGCGAAGGCGACUUUCUGGUCUGUAACUGACGCUGAUGUGCGAAAGCGUGGGGAUCAAACAGGAUUAGAUACCCUGGUAGUCCACGCCGUAAACGAUGAGUGCUAAGUGUUAGGGGGUUUCCGCCCCUUAGUGCUGCAGCUAACGCAUUAAGCACUUCGCCUGGGGGAGUACGACCGCAGGUGAACAAAGGAAUUGACGGGGACCCGCACAAGCGGUGGAGCAUGUGGUUUAAUUCGAAGCAACGCGAAGAACCUUACCAAAUCUUGACAUCCUUUGACCCUUCUAGAGAUAGAAGUUUCCUUCGGGG
rnacentral:rRNA from 1 species